UCGUUCUGCCCCUGAACAGGCAGUUAACCCACUGUUCCUAGGCCGUCAUUGAAAAUAAGAAUUUGUUCUUAACUGACUUGCCUGGUUAAAUAAAGGUAAAAAAUAUAUAUUAUUUUCUUUACGCAGAUUUUAUAAUACAUGCAUGAAAAAUGUCACCAUGGAAACCUCGCAAAUGAGUAAGAAACCCAAAGAAGUUGUCAAAAGCCAUCCAAGGACUCCCCACACCACCCGACAACGAGGAGAUAGUACCUGUUCUCUGUGUCUGACUGGUAGUAUGGAGCUGCUGCUCAGAGUAUUGUUUCUGCAUCCUAUGUAAUGUAUUCUCAGUGAUGACCCCCCCCCUCCUCCAUGUCCAGAGAAAUCACUCAUUUAAGUUGUUGGGGCAGCAGGUAGCCUGGUGGUUAGAGUGAUGGGCCAGUAACCAGCAGGUAGCCUAGUGGUUAGAGUGAUGGGCCAGUAACCAGCAGGUAGUCUAGUGGUUAGAGUGAUGGGCCAGUAACCAGCAGGUAGUCUAGUGGUUAGAGCGUUGGGCCAGAAACCAGCAGGUAGCCUGGUGGUUAGAGUGAUGGGCCAGUAACCAGCAGGUAGCCUAGUGGUUAGAGUGUUGGACUAGUAACCAACAGGUAGCCUAGUGGUUAGAGUGUUGGACUAGUAGCCAGCAGGUAGCCUAGUGGUUAGAGCGUUGGACUAGUAACCAGCAGGUAGCCUAGUGGUUAGAGCGUUGGACUAGUAACCAGCAGGUAGCCUAGUGGUUAGAGCGUUGGACUAGUAACCAGCAGGUAGCCUAGUGGUUAGAGCGUUGGACUAGUAACCAGCAGGUAGCCUAGUGGUUAGAGCGUUGGGCCAGUAACCAGCAGGUAGCCUAGUGGUUAGAGUGUUGGGCCAGUAACCAGCAGGUAGCCUAGUGGUUAGAGUGUUGGGCCAGUAACCAGCAGGUAGCCUAGUGGUUAGAGUGUUGGGCCAGUAACCAGCAGGUAGCCUAGUGGUUAGAGUGUUGGGCCAGUAACCAGCAGGUAGCCUAGUGGUUAGAGUGUUGGGCCAGUAACCAGCAGGUAGCCUAGUGGUUAGAGUGUUGGGCCAGUAACCAGCAGGUAGCCUAGUGGUUAGAGUGUUGGACCAGUAACCAGCAGGUAGCCUAGUGGUUAGAGUGUUGGACCAGUAACCAGCAGGUAGCCUAGUGGUUAGAGCGUUGGGCCAGUAAC